GGGCAUGUCAUCAUAGGACCAAGAAAAUAUGUCAAUGUAUUAUUUAAGCAACCCGACGAGUUCUCCUUCUGUGCUUCUGCAAGAUGAACGCUGAUCCUGGUUUCUUUGACUUCUCCAUCAUUACCUAGAUUAACUAUCUCAAUUUCUUCUAGGUUGGGAUUUUCCCGAUCCUCAAAAUCUUUUAGUUCCUCUAUUAAUCAUUCUGGGUCCAUUUU
rnacentral:lncRNA from 1 species